CCCUUAGAUGUCCUGGGCCGCACGCGCGCUACACUGAGUGUCUGAGAUACGAGUCUGCCUGGUCCGGCGAGGUCUAGGUAAUCGCUAAAAGACACAUCAUGCUUGGGAUAGAUUAUUGCAAAUAUUAAUCUUGAACGAGGAAUUCCUAGUAAGCGCAAGUCAACAGCUUGCGUUGAUUACGUCCCUGCCCUUUGUACACACCGCCCGUCGCUACUACUGAUUGGAUGUUUAAGCGAGGUUCUCGAACUGCUAGCGACUUAGCUUCGGUGAGGUCGCAGCGUGGGAAGUGAACCUAGCUUUGGUGUCUAGAGGAAGUAAAAGUCGUAACA
rnacentral:rRNA from 1 species